GAUCCUGGCUCAGGACGAACGCUGGCGGCGUGCCUAAUACAUGCAAGUCGAGCGAAGUUUUUCUGGUGCUUGCACCGGAAAAACUUAGCGGCGAACGGGUGAGUAACACGUAAAGAACCUGCCUCACAGACUGGGACAACUAUUGGAAACGAUAGCUAAUACCGGAUAACAGCAUUAACUGCAUGGUUGAUGUUUAAAAGUUGGUUUUGCUAACACUAUGAGAUGGCUUUGCGGUGCAUUAG
rnacentral:rRNA from 1 species